rnacentral:rRNA from 1 species
GACGAACGCUGGCGGCGUGCUUAACACAUGCAGGUCGAACGGAAAGGCCCUGCUUUUGUGGGGUGCUCGAGUGGCGAACGGGUGAGUAACCCGUGAGUAACCUGCCCUUGACUUUGGGAUAACUUCAGGAAACUGGGGCUAAUACCGGAUAGGAGCUCCUGCAGCAUGGUGGGGGUUGGAAAGUUUCGGCGGUUGGGGAUGGACGCGCGGCUUAUCAGCUUGUUGGGUGGGUAGGGGCUUACCAAGGCUUUGACGGGUAGGCGGCCUGAGAGGGUGACCGGCCACAUUGGGCCUGAGAUACGGCCCAGACUCCUACGGGAGGCAGCGGUGGGGAAUAUUGCACAAUGGGCGGAAGCCUGAUGUAGCAACGCCGCGUGCGGGAUGACGGCCUUCGGGUUGUAAACCGCUUUCGCCUGUGACGAAGCGUGAGUGACGGUAAUGGGUAAAGAAGCACCGGCUAACUACGUG